CACCGAGAGAGCAUGCUUGCUCAAAGAAACUGCUUCAAGGUUGAGAAUCCCCAAGAUUUGAAUAAUGGGAGAAGGAUGGUAGGGCUCAGUGUCUAGCAAGCUGGCCUGUGGUUUUCGUGCCUCAGCAACUCCAAUAUUGAAAUUAUAGGUAUAAGCUGCCUUGCCUGAUCAAUGCUUUAUUUUGACAAAAUUUAACAAAUUAUUGAAUGAAUACUGUAAUAUAAUCUGAAAAGAAAAAAGGAUCUUCAAAAGGAUUUGGAACAUACAUAUGCUGUUUCACUUGGGUUGAGGGAUUUUUCUCAAUAACUUUCAUGUAGUAAUUUAUUGAAAAUCAUAUUUUCUUGAGAUGAACUGGAAUUCUGUGCUGAUAUCAGAUGAUUGGAAUUAAAAGAUGUUUUAGAACUUGCUGUUUUGCACUAUACAUGACUCGGGGUUAAAGCCAGGGCAGGGCCUUCUCCCUGGACAUCCAGCACUCAGCGGGCUAAGGUAAGGGGAUCAGGGACUCCAGGCAAGUGUUAAGAAGACAAGGAAUAUAGAGUAAGACAAGGAAGGAUUGGGUGAUUGAGAAAGUGAGCUGCUUCUGAAUCAAGGUACUGCUCUUUCGUUUUCUGGGUAUUUUUGUCUAUGGUAUUGUAAAUAAUUACUUUAGGGUAACCAAAAGCACAUACGAAACCAUGAUUUCGUUUUCUCUAACAUUACUAAUAAUCCCUGCAUAAAGGGCUAAAGAGACAUUGAGGUAAUAGAACAAAAGGAAGAUUUCAUCUUUAAGGGGCUAAACGUAAACUCAGAAAUAGGGCACACAGUUCUACAGAUCACUACUGAAAACCAUGGUUUUAUGUCUAUCCUCAAAGUAGGAACUCUACAAAGAUUGCUAUUUUCUGAGAUUCUUGAAAGAAUAUUCAUCCUUUAGAUAUGUCCCACAACUCUGAGAAGUAGCCUAGACUGUGGCAUCUGAGAACAAGAUGAAGCUAAAUGAGAGACAAGUCUGCAAAAAUCAGUGGGAGAAUCCUGCAGCCUACUGAGUGCUAUUUCCCCGCACUAGAGUUAACCAAGAAGGAAAGUGGAACCAUGGCUGCUAGCACAGGCUGCUUCGCUGAACGAACUGCAGGUUAGAAUCUAGAGUAGACCAAUUCAGAAUCCUGGGCUGUGAAAAAUCAGGACAAUCAGAAUUGUUCUAACUGGGGAAAUAAAUAAUUAACUAAUUUAAAAUUGGCCACUCACUCCCACCACAUGCUGCCAGCUUAGUCUCAUGAGGAUCCACUCUGCCAAAUUAUUUAUACAAUCAAGUAUGUGAGUAACAUCCCCAAGAGCAGAUGUUUUGAUUUCUCAGUAUUUCUUAGGACAUGAAUAUUAUUUUGAAUUUUGAUUCUUGGCUUUUUUUACAUAAAAUUCCCCAACUUUAUUUUUAUUGGUUAUUUUAUUUAUUUACAUUUCAAAUAUUAUUCCCUUUCCCAGUUUCCCUCUGCAAACCCUUCAUCCCUACUCCUUCCCCCUGCUUCUAUGAAGAUGCUCCCUCAUCCACCUACCCACUCCUGCCUCACCACCCUAGCAUCUUUCUACUCUGGGGCAUCCAGCCUCGACAGGGUUAAGGGACUCCCCUCCCACUGAUGCCAGAUAAAGGAAUCUUCUGCUACAUAUACAGCUAGAGCCAUGGGUCCCUCCAUGUGUACCCUUUGGUUGGUGGUUUUGUCCCUGGAAGCUCUGGGAGUACUGGUUGGUUGAUGAUGUUGUUUAUCCUAUGGGGUUACAAACCCCUUCAGCUCCUUUAGAACUUUCUCUAGCUCCUCCAUUGGGGACCUUUGCUUAGUCCACUGGUUGGCUGUGAGCAUCCACCUCUGUAUUUGUAAGGCUAUCAGACUCCUUUCAGCAUGUACUUCUUGGCAACCACAAUAGUGUCUGGGUUUGGUGUCUGUAUAUGGGAUGGAUUCCCCAGGUGGGACAGUCUCUAGAUAGCCUUUCCUUCAGUCUCUGCUCCACUUUUUGUCCCUGUAUUUCCUUUAGAUAGGAACAAUUCUGGAUUAAUAUUUUUGAGGUAGGUGGGUGGGUGGGUCCAUGCCAAACCACUUGAUAUGUUCUUUACAGGUUCUCUCUCCCCUUUAUUGGGUAUUUUGGCUACUGUCAUCCCCCUUGAGUUCUGAGAACCUCUUGCUUCCCUGGCAUCUGGGACCUUAGGAUGGCUACCCCCAGUUCCCCAUCCUCCACUGCUGCACACCUCUGUUCAAUGCCCUGACCCUCUGUACAUCUCCCCUUCUUCUUCCACACAUGAUCCUGCCCCCUACCCCUUUUCCCUCUUUUGGUUAAAACAUACUGAUAGAAACCAUACUUGAUUCUUUGUCAGAAUUCUUCUCUGGUCAUUUGGUCCUUAUGGCCAGUGUUUCACAGCAUCUUUUCCCCCUCUUUCACCUGCACCAAAGGGGAAGAAACAUAGCAGUAGAAUCAAUAUUUAUUUAGCUUAAGAAAAACAAAACUAUACGGUGAUUUAAAAACAUUAAGAAUAGAAAAUGGAUUCUCAUUUCUCAGAAAUUAAGAAGAAAAAAAGGAAAACAGUAAGCUAGCUCCGUGUGAGUUUUCUUCUCAGAUCCCGUGUCGCUGAGCGCUGCUGCAGUUUCAGGGCACAUCCUCCUUUGCCUUGAUUCUUGAUGCUACCUAAUCACAGCCUUCAUUUGGCCAACACAGUGACCUGUCACUCAGCACAGGCUAUGUGAGCCAUUUACAGGCCCUUCUUAUUUCAGUUCACAUUUGAGGGAGAAAAAAAAUUAAAUAUUUGGAGAGUCAGUAUGUUUUCCUGGUUAUCAUGUAUUAAUAUUUGAGUAACUUAGAGAUUCUGGGAGACACAUAAUAAAGGGUCUCAUUAUUUAGACUCAUUAUAAAUUUAUUUAAAUGACUUUUAUUAGUAAAUAAGUUUCAUAUUUGUCUGCCACAGGUUAUGCUUGCUUUUUUUCCUCGUUCUUCCUUUCAAGCUAAGUUUAUUACUUCUGUGGUUUCUUGCAGGUAAUUAAAAAAAUGGAAUCCUUUAGUUUGGAAUAUGUUUUUUACAUGUUCCAUUUGUGUUUACCAUCUUUCAUUAUUCACCGAUUUUUCCUUUGGAAGCCUUUGCAUAGUGGUGCAAUCAGGUUCUUUUUGCUAAAGUAACUUUUAUCUAUUAUACGGCAUGGCUUGCUACUCUUGCCUCUUUCCAAAGAAUAGAAACUAAUUUUAAUAUUAGCAUAAACAAAAUAGAAUUAGGAAACAGAAUAUGUGCCAAAAAUACAAAUAAUGUGCUUUGCAACUGAAGACAAAGGUCUCGUUAGAUGCUAACUGAAUAAAAUUAAAAAGCUCAGACUACAAAGGAAAUAAGCAAUUGAAGAAACAACCUAUAGAAUUGGGGAAAAAUCUGUGCAAACUAUACAUCUAGCAGAAUUAUUAUCUAGCAUCCGUAAAGAACUCCAAAACCUGCCAAAGAAAACACCCUAUCAACAAAGGACUAAUGAGAAGAACAGGCUAUUCCCCAGAGGUGAAGUACAAAUGACCAGUGAGCAUGAAAAAAAUCAAUAUUCAGCUAUCAGAGAAAUGCAAAUGAAAACUACAUUAAAAUUCUAUCUCAUGGCAGUGAGAAUGGCCAUCAUCAAG